rnacentral:rRNA from 1 species
GAUGGACGCUAGCUACAGGCUUAACACAUGCAGGUCGAGGGGUAACGAGAGGAAAGCUUGCUUUCCUUGUCGACGACCGGCGCACGGGUGAGUAACGCGUAUCCAACCUGCCCCCAACUAGGGAAUAACCUUGCGAAAGUAAGACUAAUACCCUAUAAUUUCCUCAGAUGUCAUCUGACGAGGAAUAAAGAUUUAUCGGUUGUGGAUGGGGAUGCGUCUGAUUAGCUUGUUGGCGGGGUAACGGCCCACCAAGGCAACGAUCAGUAGGGGUUCUGAGAGGAAGGUCCCCCACAUUGGAACUGAGACACGGUCCAAACGCCUACGGGGAGCAGCAGUGAGGAAUAUUGGUCAAUGGGCGGAAGCUUGAACCAGCCAAGUAGCGUGCAGGAUGACGGCCCUAUGGGUUGUAAACUGCUUUUAUACAGGAAUAAAGUUAGCCACGUGUGGUUAUUUGUAGGUACUGUAUGAAUAAGGACCGGCUAAUUCCGUGCCAGCCGCCGCCGUAA